AAUAUUCAAAUUUCUUCUUUCAAAAUUCUCAAUCUCGGCCCUGUUCAACUACUAAAUUGGCAGUGAAGCCAACUGAAAAGGAGUUGGAUAUCUAUCACUGGUGUGCUCGGGCUCCACUAAACCUUCCUUGUGUUAUGGCAAUUAGAUUUAUCGUUAAUGGUGCUGACGCCGUAUGAUGGAAUUGUGUGAGAGUAAGCUUGUUGCUGUGAUGGAUCAUAUUAACUGAAUUUUGAAUGCUGAACCAGUCUUGUAUACCUGAGAUUAAAAAAUCUACUGUGCCAUGCUAACUUUGUCAUCAAGGAAAAAGAGACUCUUCCACUGCAAACACUAUUCACAUAUAACCCAUCCCUGACCAACAUGUCUCCCUCUACUAUAAGGGAGAUGGAUGUACCAUUUUUUCCUAUGUGCUUCAAACAGGAACAGAGAUAAUUACCAUCCAAUUUCUUCUCAAGUACACAUUGGAAAACUUUUCUCAGCGGGAAAAUAUACCUCAAAAUGAGUCUUCUUGAAGCAGUAAAAGGAAAAUGGUGGAGUGAAAGGA